rnacentral:sRNA from 1 species
AACGUAUUAAGCUCCAGAGGUGAGCGAGCGCUCCAUUUAGUCUGAUCACAGUGUAACAUCCCAGGUGAAAAGUUUGUAUUCUAUAGGAAAUUCUAUCAGACGUAUAACUCCUGGACUUUAUAGAAACUAUUUACGGAAGAAUCCUGCUAUUAAUGAUUAGACAGCUAUAAAGUUUAGUUACUGUGGAAGUAUGAUACAAGCUACAUUUGGAGACUUCACGAAGAUCUGAACCAGCACUACGUCAGUUAUCAACUUUAUU